rnacentral:rRNA from 1 species
GUCGAGAAUAAUUCACAAUGGACGAAAGUCUGAUGGUGCAACGCCGCGUGAGGAUGACGGUCUUCGGAUUGUAAACUCCUGUCAUCCGGGAGUAAGACCUGGCUGUGAAUAGCAGACAGGGUUGAUAGUACCGGAAGAGGAAGGGACGGCUAACUUCGUGCCAGCAGCCGCGGUAAUACGAAGGUCCCGAGCGUUGUUCGGAAUCACUGGGCGUAAAGGGAGCGUAGGCGGCGUGGUAAGUCAGAUGUGAAAUCCCGGGGCUCAACCCCGGAACUGCAUCCGAUACUGCCGUGCUAGAGGAUUGGAGAGGUAGCUGGAAUUCUUGGUGUAGCAGUGAAAUGCGUGGAGAUCAAGAGGAACACUCGUGGCGAAAGCGAGCUACUGGACAAUAUCUGACGCUGAGGCUCGAAGGCCAGGGGAGCAAAAGGGAUUAGAAACCCCGGUAGUCC